CCGGUUACUAUUGCCGUAUUUUAGGAGGGACAGCAAAUCUUCGGCGCCAUUUGGUUUUACCAAAGACAGGCCUGUCACAGUGAUACCAUCGUUACCGUUGUCUCUAAUAGUCAAAAAAUUUGACUGAGCCAAUAAUUUUAGAGAGCUUCACAUGCAUUUGUUCAACAAAAAGUUCACCUCAAGGUAAGAUACAGAAAUCUCGAAUUUUUUAACUCCACGGAGCUCUUCCAUUCGGCGGUAAAGAUCCAUGACAGUUAGAAAAAUUAUACCAGGAUUUUGUUGUGUUCCAAGCAUAGCUGUCUGAGGGCCAGGCAGUGAUCUUGGUUUACCAGAACAGUUGAACCCUUCUAGAACAGCAUCAACAACUGCUUUUGUAGUUCCUUCAAAAACUUCCUCAUUAGUUGCUUCAGGUGCAAAGACAGCAUCAAAUGCAAAGUGUGCAUCUUUAUGCGCUUUUUUUGUAAAAUCUCUAUUGUUUUGUUUAACUCCAUGAAUUCCUUUAAGGAGAAAAAAUUUAUACAAAUGGACAAUCAAAUUUAAGGCUGGACAUACCUUGAACUAGUUGAUUUUUCUCGUUCAUUAAAAGGUCUGACUCUAACUGCAACUCUAAUAUUUGAACUUUGAAUUUCAGCAGAACCACUAAUUCCCUCUCCAAGUGUACUUCGAAGAAUGACAUUAUUGCUGUUUUGCCGUCUCACCAGUCCUGUGCGGGGGGAAUUCCUCACCUGGCGAAGUGGUGGUUUCAUCGUGUGUACUGUUUAAGAUCUUGUGGUAUCUAUAUAGAUGAAGAUAAUUUUAAAAAACCAAUUUAAAGCAAGCUGCAAGCAAUAUUAUUAGGUAAAAUUUUUCAAAAGACAUCCAGUGUUAAAGCAUUAGAAGACUUAAAUAUGCUAACGUUAAAUAGAAGGAGAUAAUCGUCGGCGAUUCUUUUUAGUUUCGUUAACGAGUCUAGUUGAGUAUGUUAAAUACUAAUUUGAAUCUCACCAGUUUUCGAUUAUUGAAGAGUUUCGCAGUCGCCAACCGCUAAUCUAUAUGGCAGUCGAUUAUUAUUAUUUAAACUUGCGGGGACGAUCAAAACAAGUCUUGAAGCCAACGACACAAAAAACAUAAAUGGGAUUUGGAGGGAACUCAAACUGACCGUUGAAGAACGCUCGCUGUUUUCAAAAAACUAAGCUAUCGAUAUAGUAUCCAGCGGUGUACCGAAAACUAAAUAGCAUGGUUGCCAGAUGUCGAAAAGCCUGCAUUGGACCAUGGUGCCUAAAUGCUGUCUGCUACCAGAGUCUCUGCUGCUACUGUCUCUGGCUGUCCGCUUAAGAAAAUUUGGAAAUGUCACUUCUCACUUUAUCUGGUUCUGUACACUGUACCUCUUCGUUGCAUUUAGUUUUCUUUUUUUUUCUUCACAUACUGGGCAGAGAAUAUACCUCCUUUCUCUAUGUUACCGUUUACAAUUAAACAUUAAAUUGUCCAUUGGCACCCUGAAUUUAACAUGAAACCACAGAUCGUAUAGAAAUACUAUCUAUGAUCCCCGUAUCAUUGCUCAAGAUGUGAGUUCGAUUCUGGACCGAGAACCAAAUGUAACAAUUUCCAUCCCUUUUCUAUUUAUUAAAGAGGGCUGAGGGUCAUUUCCCCCCCCCCCCCUUAUUUGAAAUGUAAAGAAGAAUCUACCUUGAAUUUGAUAGGCCUACAGGUGGAUUGAUUUGGCGCCAUUAGUUACUAACAAAAGUUAUAACUUUCGUACAGAAAAUGUUGUAAAAACUUACAAAAUACAAAAACAGAACACACGUUGGCUGUGUCAAGAACAUAA